rnacentral:lncRNA from 1 species
ACACAGAGUUGUAUUUCUCCCAGAGCUGCCAGGCUGAAUAUUUUGCAGUCAGAGCUCUAAAGCUUACAGGCUUUUGCUUUGUUUAUCUUUCUUUGGGGUCUUUAGCCCUCUUUCUUUUUGGAUUUUUUUCUUCUUUAAAUAUAUGAGAAACACUUUGAAACGUUGGAUUUUCAAGUCCUUUUUCAGGAAGCAUUCAUGAGCUGGCAUGGGUCAACAUACAAUUCAUUACCAGGCAAAAAGGCAAAGCCACAACACUGCACUUCAGCCAGGAGAUUUGGAGUCAAAGAAGGUUUCUGAAAUCAGUGGAGACUGCCUGAGAACAGACCGUGCUGUAGUGCAGCCUUUCAAAUGGUAA